GCCAGUGUGAUGCAGUGGUUUUAGCAUUGGACUAUGACUCUGGGAAACAGGGUUCAAAUCCCUGCUUAGCCA